CGCAUCCAUCAAAAUAUUUCCGAGUUUCUGAUGUCUAUUUUUUCUUCGAGUAUUUUUCCUGUUUCUUAAUUGGUUUACUUUCAUUUCUUAAACUUCAGAAUGCAUAUAAGAAGAAUGUUUGACCAUACCAGGUUCCCUGAUGGGGGUUCUGUGGUCCUGACAGCACUCUUUUUUCCCUUUGGACUGGCACUGGUCAUCAUUCGAAUAUUCAUCAUGAUGCAUGCCCUGUUGGUGUCUUGUAUACUACCAAAGUGUCAAGCUACAAGCUUCAUCCUCAAAUCACUGUUUGGAGUUGUGGGUAUUCAAGUUAUGGUUCAAGAGGAUAAACGCAAUAAGCAUCCCAACAAAAUCAAAGCCAAGGUUGUCGUAGCCAAUCAUGUGUCUUAUCUUGAUCACAUGGUCAUCGAUCUUGUCCAGCCAAGUGUAGUGCCUGAUGAAGUGGGCUUCUCGUCUUUCUUUCGGUGGCUGUUUUCCUACCGCGACUUUGGGGUUACUCGGGGAAAUGAACAUCUUGAAGAAAACAUUAAGAAAUAUCUUCAAGAUCAAAGUGUACCAGUAUUAUUUUUACCUGAGGGAACACCUACCAAUGGAUCGGGAAUCCUAAAGUUCAGGUCAUUUCCAUUCUCACUUAAGGUACCAGUGCUACCAGUUAGUAUCUCGUAUACAAGAUGGCCUCUUACUAUGCCUGUGUCUACAAUUGACAGCACAAGACUGAGUGAAUAUUUUUGGAUUCUUUUCUACCCAUACACAAUAUUUAAGCUCAGGUUGUUGGAGCCGGUAGAACAAGAGGAUAAUGAGAAGGCGGAGGAGUUUGGGGAGCGCGUGAGGAAGAAGAUUGCUACAAGUUUGGGAGUACCUGCCACCAAUUACAAUGCUGGAGACAAGACAGAGUACCUCAAGCGUCUCCUCACUGAUCAGGCUCAGCGUAAACAGGCAGCUCUGGCAGCGCAAAGUCAAAGAGAUACCGGUAAUGGCAUGACAGGGAGUCAGCCAAGUGGAGACAACUCUGUUAAUACUAGUCCUGAGAUUAAAAAGAUGGCUGAGCAAGUGAAGGGCGUGCUGCCUACAGCGUUGAUGUCUCAAAUAAUCAAAGAUCUGGAAAAUACCAAAGAUGUAGAUACAACAAUUACUAAUAUACUGGAAGGAAACAUAUCAGAAGAUACAAAGAAACCAGAUACGAAAGAGUCGCCUCAAAUUGACUGCAAUUUAAAAACAGGCAUUUGUGCAUCGCAACAAAAAUACAAAUCCAACACAUUUUCACGAAUAGCACCAGAUCGGCAGGUAUCCUUAGAAGACCGGAAGAAACUGAUGAUGGCAACAGCACGACAGCGCUACAAGGAAAAACAUGGACUGUUGUGAUCAUGUAACGUGUAAACUAAUGUCUUCUGGUGCUUCUCGUUUUCAAUGAGUGUUUUAUACGUGUAUUAACUUACUGACUUCACAAGACUGUGGUUGUACAAGUCACCUUAAACGUUUGAUUGUGUGGUGAUAAGUUCAGAGUGUCCCAGCAUAGAGUAUAGGUCACUGUAUAAGUCAUACAGUACCUAUACCAGAUUGUGUCACAUAUAGGUCACUGUGAUCAUACAAUUCAUUAUAAUACUAGUGUCUCGACACAAAAUAUAGGUCGCUAGAAUCCUAUACCAAAUACUGUUCUGAGGCCACAUCUCAUCACCUUCCUGGAAGAUCUCCCAUACCAUGAAGUGAUUUGAGUGGUGAAUUGUUGUUUUACUGGAGGACACUGUGAUGAUCAUGACAACAUUGUUACUCGGGAAAGUUCAGACAGUUCAAUGUGUCAAAUUUAUGUUCAUCACUUUCUUUAUUUAGAGGUCAGUCCAUGAAAUGAGUGAAUAAGCUAUUUCCAACAGAUGUAGUUUUGGAUAUAGGUUCUUAUUGUUUCGAGGAGCCUCUACUUAGAGAAGGUGCCAUUGGCUGAUUUGGGAAUGAUGAACUUGAAAGACACAAAGCUGAAUUUGUGUUUAUUUUCAUCAUUAUCUGUAAAAGAUAACUGAAUUUUUGAAGUUACAAGAUCACUAUGACCUGCAGAUGAUACUUAUGGCACCAACUUCAGAGGAUAUAGGUCACUGUGACUUGUACAUGAUUUAGGUUACAGACUUGCAGAGGAUAUAAAGGUCACCCACUUCAGAGGAUAUAAAGUCACUGUGACUUUCAGCGGAUGUAGAACAAUGUGUUAUACACGGCAAAAGUUACUGCCACUUGCGUUUGAUUAGUAGGUUACCAAGCAUGACUUGUACAGGAUGUAAGUCACUGACUUCACAUGAUAAUAAGGUCACUGUGACUUUACACAAUAAGUAGGCCAAUGUGACUUUACAAAAUAAGUAGGUUGAUGUGACUUGUACAGGUUGUAGGUCACUGUGACUUUACACAAUAAGUAGGUUGAUGUGACUUGUACAGGAUGUAGGUCACUGUGACUUUACACAAUAAGUAGGUCGAUGUGACUUGUACAGGAUGUAGGUCACUGACUUUACACCAUAAGUAGGUCAAUGUGACUUGUACAGGAUGUAGGUCACUGUGACUUUACACAAUAAGUAGGUCGAUGUGACUUGUACAGGAUGUAGGUCACUGUGGCUUUACAUGAGAAAUAGGUCACUGUGACUUGUGCAAGGUAACAGUCAUUGUUUAUUGAGGUACAGUGUAUUACGGUAUGCUACCUGAUCUGUCUGUAUGAUUGUAUUUAUGUCACUCCGGAUCCUGUACAAUCAGGGUAGUUGUUGUAAAACUGAUGAACAUGAAGUAUAAAAUAUUAAGGGUAUUUUCAGUAAUCAUUCUGUUUGUGUUUUUGUACAUAGCAGGAAAAUAUUAUUUGAGCGAUUCAUGAACGUGUGAUCAUUUUUCCUGAGAGACCAUUAACAGUGCUAACAAAGGUAGUUACACAAUACAGGUUAUUGUCAUAACAGCUACGUGUAUAGCCAGAAGGUCACAGCUACUUUAUCACAAUUAUACACAUAUUUCCAGGUGAAAAUGUCUCGAACUUGAUUUGUGUUCUUGUUACAUAAUGUAUGGGUUCCUGCAGAAGAUAUUGUAUUUCUGCAGCCUGUAUACAGUUGUGGAGAAUUGGAUUCUUUGGUGUGAAAAAGUGGACUGCUAGGGAUUGCUUAGCAAGAUUGGAUUCCUAUUAAUUGUAAGGAAAAUUUAAUUACAGAAUUUCUGGAGAUUGUUUAGAAAAAUUCAAUUCCCUGGGACUGUUGAGAAUUGGAUUCCUGGGGACUGUUAAAAAGAAUUGUUCUAGGAGAUUGUUAAGGAGAAUUCUAUUCCUGGGACUGUUGGGGCGAAUGGGAUUAGUAAGACUGUUGGGGAGAAUGGGAUUAUUGAAGUCCGUCAUGGAGAGUUGGAUUCCUGAAAUAUAUUGAGGAGGAAUAUAGAUGGGAAUGUAUAUUUAUUCAUAAAAAAACUUAAGCACUUCAGCCUGACAGGAUCUUUGUGCUAUUUUCCUUCUUUCUUUACCGAUUGGAUACAUUCUAACUUGAUUGUGGAGAAACCUGAUUAGUUUUGAUCUGAUCACAGACUCGGAGAUAAACUGUACAAAGCUAGAAAUUCUCUGAGAUUGAAACAUUCCAUCAUUUUCUCUAUCAUCUUUCACCAAGGUUACUGAGUGUGUUAAGAAAUUGUAAAAUUCCUGUAUGUGUUGAAAUAGGGGGAUGGAAGGGAGUAAACCCAGUUCAACUGCAAUUAUGAACAAAAGUCCUUACAAAAUCUAUGGUUAACAACAAGGCAGGAGAACACGUAAGUCAGAGGUACUAGGUUAAGAAUUCCUGAAGGAAAGGGUAGGUUUUAGGAAAGCAUCCCAUUAGUCACAAGUCUUUUCAAUUCAUCUAAGUUUUGUUAAAGUUUGGUUUGUUUGUGUUUUUUACGUCCUGUUAACGGCUAUGGUCAUUUAAGGAUGUGCCAGGUUUUGGUGGUGGAGGAAAGCUGGAGUUCCCUGAGAAAAACCACUGUUAUAGACAUGCAACAUGUUUAAUGUUCCUGCAACAAAGUGGAUGAGGUUUGUCUGUCAAUCCAUCGGUGCAUUGGUUUAUUUAACAUCUUGGUUAGACUUUGAAUUUACAGUGUAGGGAAUCAUGCGACUUAAAAUCCACGAAUUAUUAAAUUGGCGGCCAUCAGUAGUUUUGAAGCGGUAGGAUUUAGCGACAUUACGCUAAAAUAUGUACUAGGAGUUCAACAGUGGUGAAACUUACUUCUUAUGCGAGUACAUCUUCAGGAGUACUACACCGGAAUAUCAAAUGUUGGUCAUUAUGACUGAUCUUUUCUACUUCAUAGACUUUGUGUGAAGUUCAAUUUCCAACAGAUUGGGAACAGGUGCAUAUAGAUAUAUUUCUAGUAUAUUUGGAAAUUGGGGUGAAGAUUUCUAUGAAAAAUAUUGUCAUAUUUAUAUUUUUCUCUUCACUGAAUUACUGAAAGGAUUCUAAAGUGAUGAACACUACAACAGUGGGUUGUGUCUAAGUACAGAUUAACAAAAAAAUUAUCCUUGUAUCGGUGGAUAUGUAUCUGAUCAGGAUGAUGUGAAAUUGAAGAAUACAAGCACAGAAAUAUUCCUUUACCUGGGUAAUUGUAAUAGAUCUUAUGAUUUAUGAGACCAAAAUAUCGUUGUACCAUAUGAGAAUGCAUUUAGAAUGUAGUGGUACAAGAUGAAAGGGGUUAGUGAGGAGAUUUUGUUUUAUGUAAUCUCAUUUGCCGUUUUAAAAUACAAACAUUUUCACUCGAAUUUCUUCUGUAGUCAAAUUUUAAAAAAGGAGGAUAUUGAUAAUCUUUGUUUUGUCAUAAACUUUAACACAAUGGUUUUUUAAAACUCAUUCCUACAUACUGUUAACAUGUACAUUUUUAGCGGUAUUCUUUUUUUGGUGGUUUUUCGAGUUUAAAAUAUUGCACUAAAAUAUGGUUGCACUCUUAAAUUAGCAGUUUCUGCUUAUAGUUUUCUGUGCCAAUUUAUCAGCACGUUAAUUUGUUAAAACUUGAUGAUAUGCUAAAAUUUGGAUCCGCUUAAAUAACUUUACGGCCUGCAUACAAUCGUUUUUUAAUUAUAAAUGUAAGUUUAUGAUCAUUAUGGUUUGUAUUGAUCAUUAUGAUUUUUACAGUCAGUACUAAAAGGUAAUACAGUUUUGUAAAAUUUGGUUCAGAUUGAAUCAUUUACCGGUAUUCAUCACACCUAUAUGAUUUUGAUGCUAUCAUUUACCUAUUUUUACCCUAAAUAGCUUCUAUAUAGCCAGUGCUUGGUUUCACUAGACAAUGAUUUUGUUGGUCACCAUGAAAUAGAUUAAGUUAUAUGUAAAUGUCUCAGUAAGUUGAUUCCCUAUACGCAAUUUUCGUUAAAUACAAUAUUUGAUUAUUGUUAAAAUGGGAAUAUUUUGUGUUUUUAAUCGUUAUUGUUUCUUUGCAAGUUGAUUUUAUCGCACGACUUGCGAGGCAGGUGAUUGUCAUGUGAUUGUAAUUGACAUAACGUGGCAAAAUAUUUUGACACUUAUGGGACAAAAUGUAAAGCAACUUCUUGUUGCAAAAUAGGUAAAUCAUGAUUAUUAAUAUCACUUCUUUCAUCCUAUUGACUGUAACAUUACAAUAUCGUUAGCUAGGAUGUAGUAUAAAGAUAGUUCUUAGGAAUAUGUUUGAAAGUGAAAGUAGAAUUUACAUACUGAUCAUUACGACGGCAAAACAAAGUCUUCUCAAAUUUUCCCAACACACUGAUGUAAAUAACAAUGAUCAAAUUAUUUCAAUUGUUACUUUUUCAGUUUGUAUUUAUAUUUUUCCUUGUUUCCACAUUAAUCUAUGUCUGAUUCAUAUAGGGCAUGUAACUUCCGGUUCAGACAACAUAAAAAUGGUCGAAAACAGCUUGAUCGGUUAUUAUGAUAUAUGUUAUAAUGAUAUUUUUCUCUGGCAAGUAGAAUAUAUCAUAAUAAGCGGGGUUCCACUGUAGUUAUAUUGCCAUUCUUCUGUUGACUGUAGUUUCUGUACUUGUGGUUCCAUUAUAUUUCAUAGAUGGCUCUGUAGCUAGCAUAUCUGACUGAGAUGUCAUUAGUCUCGGCUAUAUCUGACUGAGACGUCCCUAGUCUCUGCUAUAUCUGACUGAGACAUCCCUAGUCUCAGCUAUAUCCGACUUAGAUGUCAUUAGUCUCAGCUAUAUCUGACUGAGAUGCCAUUAGUCUCAACUAUAUCUGACUGAGAUUUCAUUAGUCUCAGCUAUAUCUGACUGAGACGUCCCUAGUCUCGACAAUAUCUCACUGAGUUGACCCUCGUCUCGGUAAUAUCUGGCUGAGAUGUAACCGCCUUCUGUUACAGGACUUUGUACCUGUAAUCCAGCUUAGAUGUUCACAAAUCAGAAUCAAUGCAGACUAUUUCAAAUAUUGAUUUAUAUUACUGUUAAAUCAUUUCCUCUUUGUGAUUAUUAUUAUCGUUCAUGGGUUUUCUUCCAUAAUCAUAUUAAUUAGGAUUAUGUUUAUUGAAUCCUUUUCGAGAUAAAAAAAAUUGCGAGAUAUUUGAAUUUGCAAUUAUCUCUCCAUGCCAAAAUCAUUUACAUUGAUAAAAACAUAUUCAUCCCCAUUUCCUUUAUUUAUUUAUACAAGUUGAAUUGAAGUAUCACUGUAUGGUAAUCCCUUUGAUAAACUACUGGUAAUGAUUUUCCGAAUAAUUUUAUUGAAAAUAAGCAUGAUCUUUUUUUUUUUAAUGGUUUGUCAUCAUUUUAUAGAAGUAAUACAUGUACACGUACCUAUAUUACGCCAUGUCAUGAACAGAUGUUCAUAUUUUAAUUGUCAUCCCAAUUCUAAAAAGUGAAAACUUAAUAGAAGAACUGGGGCUUACCUAUUAGAAGCAGCCUACGAAGUCAAGAGAUGUGGGUUUUUUUUUUUAUCCAAGUAGGAAAAUUGAUGGAAAAUUUAAUGACAUUUUUACCAAAACACAAAGGUUAUAUUUCUGAACAUUUUCUUCAAGUUGGUAAGUAUGGAUAGUAGAAAGGUCUAUAUAGCAACACUUACUGGUUGUGCUAUAUAAACCUCUUUAUACAAAAACGGGUAUUCCUAAAUAGAUUAUUUGAAUUUGGUUAAUAUUACUUGUUUCCAAAUAUGUUUGACUUGUCAGAAUUGAGUUCUACGGGAGAAGAUGAUUUUAUAUGUGUGACAUUAAAUUUUUAUGUUUCUGUAUAAGAUGUCGUAUUUCCAUAUUUAUAAUACUGUUUCAACUUAAGUUGUUGACUUUCUGGUAAAGUAUGAUUAAUUUAGUUUAAUGAGAAUUUGAUUAUUUUUUUCCCUCCUGAAAUUGAUAUUCAGGCUAAAGAAGUGUCACCAGCAUGUAUUUGUAGACAUAAAAUCGUACAUUACAUGUAAAUUUUAAGGCAGGUGUCUCACCUGUUUGGAAAUUGCUACCUGUUUGGAAAUUGCUACCUGUUUGGAAAUUGAUACCUGUUUGGAAAUCGAUUGAAUAUUAUUGAUUCACAUGUAAUUAACUCAUUCACCCCUGAAAUUCCAUAAUGAACUGUUCCAACUUUUGAAUUGGAAGAGUUCAAAUGUGUCUUCAGGGGUGAAUGAGUUAAUGUGAUAAAGCUCAUCAGGACAUUUAACACUGGUCCUACUAAAUAUAUAUUAGUACAUAAUUAAUACAAUCAUAAUGAAUCAAGUAUUUACUUUUCUUUUUUGGUGUACGAUGCAUAGUGUGUUCAUUGACCAUACGAAAUACUGACAUUUAGGUGUAUUAAAAUUUAAAGCAUUUCGACUUUUCCCCCAAUGUUUUGGAAUGAAGAACUCCAUUGAUGUAUCAACGCAACCCAUUUUGUUAUUGAUUAGGUAAUUAGGAUCUUUUUACUGUACAUGAAAUACCUGGCAAGUGUACUUUUUGAAACUCAUAUUUUACUAACAAGUAUAUUAUGGAUGAUAUAAAGCAUGAUGUAAUUUACUUUAUACAAGUUUGAUUCUACAUGCUACCUAGUUAUUUCUAUCUAAAGCAAUCUCUCUUUUCUUUUUCUCUCUCACUCUCUUUGGUUACUUGACCUUCCAGAACUUGACAUAACUAUUUUUGAAUAAAUAAAACAGUUGAAGCUGCGUACUAGAAUUGUGUUAUUUC
rnacentral:misc_RNA from 1 species